rnacentral:rRNA from 1 species
GACGAACGCUGGCGGCGUGCUUAACACAUGCAAGUCGAGCGGUAAGGCUCCUUCGGGAGUACACGAGCGGCGAACGGGUGAGUAACACGUGAGCAAUCUGCCCUUCACACCGGGAUAACCCGCGGAAACGAGGACUAAUACCGGAUACGACCACUUCAGACAUCUGAUGGUGGUGGAAAGCUCCGGCGGUGAAGGAUGAGCUCGCGGCCUAUCAGCUUGUUGGUGAGGUAACGGCUCACCAAGGCUUCGACGGGUAGCCGGCCUGAGAGGGUGACCGGCCACACUGGGACUGAGACACGGCCCAGACUCCUACGGGAGGCAG